AUUGAACGCUGGCGGCAUGCCUUACACAUGCAAGUCGAACGGCAGCACGGGGGCAACCCUGGUGGCGAGUGGCGAACGGGUGAGUAAUAUAUCGGAACGUGCCCUGGAGUGGGGGAUAACGUAGCGAAAGUUACGCUAAUACCGCAUACGAUCCAAGGAUGAAAGCAGGGGACCUUCGGGCCUUGUGCUCCUGGAGCGGCCGAUAUCUGAUUAGCUAGUUGGUGGGGUAAAAGCCUACCAAGGCGACGAUCAGUAGCUGGUCUGAGAGGACGACCAGCCACACUGGAACUGAGACACGGUCCAGACUCCUACGGGAGGCAGCAGUGGGGAAUUUUGGACAAUGGGGGGCAACCCUGAUCCAGCAAUGCCGCGUGUGUGAAGAAGGCCUUCGGGUUGGUUAAAGGACACUUUUGUUCAGGAACGAAACGGUUAGAGGUU
rnacentral:rRNA from 1 species